rnacentral:rRNA from 1 species
AGCAGCCGCGGUAAUUCCAGCUCCAAUAGCGUAUAUUAAAGUUGUUGCAGUUAAAAAGCUCGUAGUUGAAUUUCGGGGUUAGUAGAUUGGUCAUGCCUCUGGUAUGUACUGGUCUCACUGAUUCCUCCUUCCUGAUGAACCUUAAUGCCAUUAAUUUGGUGUUUUGGGGAAUUUGGACUGUUACUUUGAAAAAAUUAGAGUGUUUAAAGCAAGCUAACGCUUGAAUACAUUAGCAUGGAAUAAUGAAAUAGGACGUUCGAUCCUAUUUCGUUGGUUUCUAGGAUUGACGUAAUGAUUAAUAGGGAUAGUUGGGGGCAUUAGUAUUCAAUUGUCAGAGGUGAAAUUCUUGGAUUUAUUGAAGACUAACUACUGCGAAAGCAUUUGCCAAGGAUGUUUUCAUUAAUCAAGAACGAAAGUUAGGGGAUCGAAGACGAUCAGAUACCGUCGUAGUCUUAACCAUAAACUAUGCCGACUAGGGAUCGGAUGAUGUUAAUUUUUUAAUGACUCA